UACGAAGGGUGCAAGCGUUGUUCGGAUUCAUUGGGCGUAAAGGGUGCGUAGGCGGUGAGGCAAGUCAGGUGUGAAAUCCCGGAGCUCAACUCCGGAACUGCACUUGAUACUGCCUUGCUAGAGUACUGGAGAGGAGACUGGAAUUUACGGUGUAGCAGUGAAAUGCGUAGAGAUCGUAAGGAAGACCAGUGGCGAAGGCGAGUCUCUGGACAGUUACUGACGCUGAGGCACGAAGGCCAGGGGAGCAAACAGG
rnacentral:rRNA from 1 species